rnacentral:rRNA from 1 species
GAAUAGAUACCCGUGGUAGUCCACGCCGUAACGAUGAGUGCUAAGUGUUAGGGGUUUCCGCCCCGUUAGUGCUGCAGCUAACGCAUUAAGCACUCCGCCUGGGGAGUACGGUCGCAAGAUUGAAACUCAAAGGAAUUGACGGGGGGCCCGCACAAGCGGUGGAGCAUGUGGUUUAAUUCGAAGCAACGCGAAGAACCUUACCAGGUCUUGACAUCCCACUGACCGCUAUGGAGACAUAGUUUUCCCUUCGGGGACAGUGGUGACAGGUGGUGCAUGGUUGUCGUCAGCUCGUGUCGUGAGAUGUUGCGUUAAGUCCCGCAACGAGCGCAACCCUUGAUCUUAGUUGCCAUCAUUUAGUUGGGCACUCUAAGGUGACUGCCGGUGACAAACCGGAGGAAGGUGGGGAUGACGUCAAAUCAUCAUGCCCCUUAUGACCUGGGCUACACACGUGCUACAAUGGACGGUACAAACGGUUGCCAACCCGCGGAGGGGAGCUAAUCCGAUAAACCGUUCUCAGUUCGGAUUGUAGGCUGCAACUCGCCUA